CUUGGUGCGCAAGUCACCUUACCAGAAUUUACUCAAUAAUGUUUUCGCUAACACUGAGGCAGAUCUCUAGAAAUUCGUUUGUCGGAGCGAAUGUUUCUGCAUUCAAUGUCAGUAAAUACUCAACGGUACCUGAGGCCACCCUAGAUAUACAGAAGUGCACACUUCACAAACUAGAGCAUGGUCCGCCAACCCAGGCGACCGUUACCCGGGAGGAUGCGAUCCGAUUUUACUGGGACAUGAGGACGGUGCGCCGGAUGGAGACAAUGGCCGGCAAUCUGUACAAAGCCAAACAAAUCCGAGGCUUCUGUCAUUUAUACUCCGGACAGGUCGAGCAUCCGGUUGUGCGAAAGGCAAAGGGGGCUCCAUGCACAUGUACACUAAGAACUUCUAUGGUGGCAAUGGAAUUGUGGGGGCCCAGGUGCCUCUUGGAGCAGGCAUUGCAUUUGGGCUGAAAUACGAGAACAAGCCCAACAUCUGUGUGACCCUGUACGGUGACGGAGCUGCUAACCAGGGUCAGCUGUUCGAGGCCUACAAUAUGGCUAAGCUGUGGAACCUGCCCUGUGUGUUUGUGUGUGAGAACAACGGCUACGGAAUGGGAACCAGCGUAGAGAGGGCGUCGGCCAGCACCGACUAUUACAGCCGCGGGGACUACAUACCAGGAAUGAGGAUUGAUGGUAUGGAUGUUCUGGCUGUCAGGGAAGCCACAAAAUUUGCCAGAGAGUACGCCCUGAACAAUGGACCCAUCCUUAUUGAGGCAGCUACCUACCGUUACCAUGGACACAGUAUGAGUGACCCAGGAACAAGCUAUCGAGCCCGGGAAGAGAUCAAGGAGAUGAGAGAGACCAGGGACCCAAUCACUGUCUUCAGGCGCAAGAUUUUGGAGUGCAAUCUGGUGACUCCCGAAGAGUUGAAGAAAGUAGAUAUAGAAGUUGACAAAGAGAUAGACAAGGCAGCUGACCAGGCCAAGAAAGACCCAGAAAUCCCCCUGGGGGAGCUGUACAACAAUAUCUACAUCCACCCUGACCCAGACUAUACCGUCCGGGGCUGUGACCCCAGCAUCAGGGUCAUUUCCCACUGAGGUCAGGGGGUCAGCGAGAGGUCACAUGGUCAAAGGGAAGAAAGAUCUAUAUAUAACCUAAUCAUCUGGUGUUGUGAUAGAGUUGACAGUGUCGGAAAAACAGAUUGUUGUUAUCUUUGUUUUGUUCUGAAUCCAUAUUGGAAUGAUAAUACUCCAUUAUAAGAAGGGAUCGUUUAUUAUCAAUUAUAGAGGUUUUAUGAUGUCAAUAUGAAUUUAAGAAUUUACAUAUCUCCACAAGACUAGCUCUACACAGUAACCAUUACUGUGAAUAUUAACCGGUAUUUAAGAUUUUGAAGCAUUUUAGUACAGUGAUAUUGUUCUAUUUGCUAAGAUUUUGUAGUCACUCAGUAACAGUUUUAAUUUAGACAAACAGUAACAUGAAUCAAUUAUUUGUGUAUGCUAUGUACAUGUACAUGUACUUUGCAUUGAUUUCAAUUAUUUGAAGUUAUUUCAUUCCUUCUGUCAUUAUAUUAUAAAGUAUUUAAAGGCAAUUAAAAUAUAAAAA
rnacentral:misc_RNA from 1 species